UAGGGAAUCUUCCACAAUGGACGCAGGUCUGAUGGAGCAACGCCGCGUGAGUGAAGAAGGGUUUCGGCUCGUAAAGCUCUGUUGUUAAAGAAGAACGUGGGUAAGAGUAACUGUUUACCCAGUGACGGUAUUUAACCAGAAAGCCACGGCUAACUACGUGCAAG
rnacentral:rRNA from 1 species